rnacentral:rRNA from 1 species
UACAGAGGUCUCAAGCGUUGUUCGGAUUCAUUGGGCGUAAAGGGUGCGUAGGUGGUCAUGUAAGUCUAAUGUGAAAUCUCGGGGCUCAACCCCCGAAAUUGCAUCGGAUACUGCGUGACUAGAGGACUGUAGAGGAGAUUGGAAUUCACGGUGUAGCAGUGAAAUGCGUAGAUAUCGUGAGGAAGACCAGUGGCGAAGGCGGCCUGCUGGGCAGUGGCUGACGCUGAGGCGCGACAGCGUGGGGAGCAAACAGG